GAUUCAAAAAGUUUCAUAAAUGAACAUUAAAAUGAAUUUUAUAAAAGAACAAAGAGAUCUAAUUUAGACAAGGGAUCUUCAAGGUGGUGGGGUGCUAUGGCUGACUGUGGAGGAGCAGGUGAAUGCUGAGGAGGAAGAAGUGCCUGUUCAGAGCAGGGGCAUGGCACAGUCAACACCUCGUCCUGGCCCCUCAUUUUCUGUACCUUUCUUUGUCCUGGAAAAGCAUCCCCUCAGAAAACCAAUAAACUGCUAUGAGAAGCCAUCCUCAGAAAUCAGUUCUUCAUAGCCAAGUUUGAGCUGUGCCUCUUACACAAACCAGAUGUUCUAUCUCCAGCCAGCAGCUUCUCUGGAAACCAUAAUGGGGGCUUGAGCCAGACAGGCUGCUGCUGCUCUCAGCCCUGAGGGGAAAGAGGGGGCGGUCUCUGCGCCAUUUUCAGGAUUUGAGAAGGAAAAAAAUGCUUAAACUUUAUUUGUAAAAACACAUCUCAUCAUCCAUCAACCUCAAGGUGAUGCACGGAGUUUGGAGCCUCAGGCAGACAGUUUUCAAGCUUUACUGGAAAAGAAAGCCCCCAGGGCAUCAAGUCAGCCCUGGCUGCAGUGCAGAGAGGAAGGAGCGGAUCCACCCUGCCUCCUACACCAGAAGAGGGGUGGCUCUGGUGGAGCGGCUGCUGUGGUCCCCGCCCUGGGAGGAGGCGUUGGGCAGCCGACAGUGGGCUGCAGUGGCACAGAGCCUCCCGCUCCUUGUCCUGCACUUGCACCUCCCCAUUAGGGCAGAGACGCUUUUCAGCCACAAAACGGGGAGCCUUGGCUCAGCAGCAGGUACCUUGAUGGAAAGAGUGCCUUUCUUACUACAAACUCUUCAACAGGAACUGAGGCAGAAGGCAGAGGGCUUCACUCCCUCUCCCUGGUGACUGGACAAGGCCACAGGGCUGCGGAGAAGGGAGGUGAUGGAGUGGGAAAUGUGGCAGGAAGAGAAAAUGCUGAGGCCUACAGGGUGAGUCUGGGGAGAGCAAGUGGACUUGAGAGUGUUCUUCCUCCACUCAGCCCAGUUCAGGUAGCUCUCUCAGUGCUUCUGAGGGGCCCAGGACUCAAGGUGCAUGGAACCUAGGUGGACAAAAGGAAGAGCUGGUGCUGAGUCUUCAUGAAUUGGCAGAGAUCCCCAAGAGGCCGGCAUCUGUAUCUCUGAAAGAGGAUCAGCACUGAACUCAUGGUUGCCUUUCCCAGCCUCGGCCCUGACUGUCACAUGAGGCAACACGGCACUGUGGAUAAGGGAGAGAUGUGCAGCCAACUUGCUCUGAUGCAGGUCUCAGUACCUCUGUUUGUUUGACUCUGAUGUGCAGUGAUAAAAACACCCACAGAGCUGCCUAGUCACCCUGAAAAGCACCAAGACCAGCACCUGGGUGUGGCAAGGAGGAUGGGAAGUAGACUGAGCAAUGCCUAUCGAUGGCCAUGAGAUGAACUGACAUGGGGAGUGACAGUGCACCUCAUGCUAUGGAGGUGCACAAUGCACCAGUGGUGCUGCUACCCUCCAUCCCCCAUCCUACCUUUCCAGGACAGCCUUCCUGGGUCAUAUCCUGCUCAUACUGUUUUUCCUGUGGGCUCUGUCUCAUGUUCUCCAGGUUUGUUCAUCUCUUGCCAGUUGGAUCUAAUGAGGUUUCCCACAGGCUUGCAUUUGAUCUCCAAUUCUCCCAGACGGACCCCAAAUGUGGCUGGAGAGGCCACGGGGCAGCUGUGAUAGCACCACUCAGGGAAUGGCUGGGCUGAGGACAGCUGGGCUGAACUGCCCCAAGAGACAAAAGGCACAAUUCAAACAGGAAGCUCCAGACACGUACCAACUGUCCACGCGUGUCAAGCCACAUUCUCCCCACUGUAGAGAUGACCCAGUAGACUCAGGCAGAUUGGGGUGGGGACUGGAGCAGCCUCCUCCUGGCAGGCCUUAGACUCAGCCCAGUCAAGUUCCCAGGUUAUUCAUAACUUCACCUCUAGUCCAUGCUGGAAUUGGGGGUGAUAAAGAUUCCGAUGCCACAUCCAGCCCAGACCAAGUGAUUCUGGUCCUCAUGGCUGGAGCCCAGGUCUGGCCAGCUCUGUUAGGAAUCCAAGUCAUUUUAAUGAGCUGUCAUUGACCAGGAGGAAAAGAAGCUGAGGGCUCAGGUCUAAGAUGUUCGCAUUCUUUACAUGCUCAGGAAGCACCAGAAACCAAACAGAACAUUUUGUCCAAACACUACACGCAGGAAGAUGGGAGCCACACCCUGCUGCACAGAACAUUCCUUCAGUGAGGGAGACGAGCUUCCUAGCUGGCAUGUUGGAGGACUCCAGCUGGAGAAUUUUCCAGUGAUAACAGGCUAGCUUCCCAGAACACAGUCUCCAGUAUUCACCCUAGGGCAGGAGAAACUGCAUUGUGGAACCACAGAAACAGAAACUAGAAGUCCCAGCAGCCUGAGAGGCUCAUCAUGAUCUCACUGGUCUCCAGGGGUCCUCAACCCACUCCUCUGGACUGGACUCCAUUCCAGGCCUGUUGACCGGGGUCGUGAUGGGGCCGCUUCCCCAGGGAGUGCACACAAAGACACAGGUCACACGACAUGGGAACACCGCUCACAUACUCCUAUCGUAGGCCGAAGUCAUUUGGCGUCAGGAAAGGCAUCCCCAGAAUCCUCUAGGCUCCCCCAUCCUUGCAUCUCAUUGGUCAGAGUAGUGUCACGUGCACAUGCGUAGCCCAAUCCCCGGCCACGUAGCUCAGCUCCACCCUCCCUGCUGCGCAGGCGCACAGUGUUCUGUGACAGCCCAGUGUGUCCUCAGGGCUGGGUCCGCUGGCUGGUCUCCCAGCCGAGUGAGCGGUGAGUGGUCGCCGGUCAACAGUAUGAGGCGGUGCCUGCCCCCCGCCGCUCGCCGUCUGCCCGGCCUCCAUAGACUGAGGAGAACGGCGAGGCCAAGGUCGGCUCACACUGACAAGGCCAGCUGCACCCUGCCUCGCUGCGGCCUAGCGCCUGUCGCUUCCCACAGCCCUGGCGAACCCACCGGCUGAGGGGGACCAGGCUGGACCCGCCCGACUUUCGGUCCGCCCGUUCCUCCUGUACUGGCAGCCGAGGUGUGUGGGGAGGUUCGGUUCCGGGCCCGAUCGGACUAAAUGGCCGAGCAGUGGACAGGCCAACGUGGGACCCAAGGUGCCGGAAUCGGCAGGUCGCGCCCGCUGCCCGCCCCGCGCCCCGCGGCAGGGAACCUUCCAGGGUGGCUUCCCGGCCGCCCUCCGUCUGAAGUCAGCUUAAGGGGCUCCGUUUCUCAGUCCCGGACGUCUCCCAGGGAGCGCCAGCCCGGCCUGAGUGCAGGAGGCCUCCUCCAGCAGGCGAGGAAAGGAGGGAGCCCCUCGUCUCCUCCUCGGCAGCAGAGUCCAGGACCUGGAGUCCCCGAGAGGACCUCUGAGGUGCGUGACUUCUUUGGGUGGUUUCUGUUGUUUUUGUCCUUCCUCUCUUGAAGUGAUAGGCACGAAAGCUCUUUUCCUAAAAAUGUCUUCUUUGAAAGGUAGCCAGGAAAGAGAAAAAGGGUAAUCUACCCUGUGCACCCUGGAGUCAGAGGGAAAGUAGAAACUAAGAAAGGGCAUUUCGACAACAGAAGAACGAAAGGCAGCUGAAGAUGUGGCUCUGGGCUUAGCACGGGAAAGGCCUCAUAUCUCCUUGACUUUCUUGUUCGGGGUGGCUGUUACGAGAUGAGGCACUGUAAAGCUGGACU
rnacentral:lncRNA from 1 species